AAGUCCUGGCCCAGACCUAAGCAACCAGGUUCCACCCUGUUCCCUCUUACCCACCCUACGCCAGCGGCUAAAAGCUGCCUUGGCUAGCUCAGACCCUGAGAGCUAAGGGAUGGGAAGGGUUCCGGUGGGGACACAUGGCCAGUGGCUGUUCUUCCAUAUUCAUCUGUCUUUAAUAUUCAGAUAAAUGGAAGUACAUGACCUUGCUAGUGUUUUGGGGUAGGAAAGGCAAGAACCUUGGAUCACACCUGCUCCGGCUAUUCUGAUGUCAUCUCCAUCUCCUGGAGACAGUUGCUGCAUGGGAACAAAGGCAGGGCCCAGACGAGGUCUGGAGGGAUAAGCGGCAGGGAUCUGGGCACUGAGCUGAGGCACUGGGCAGGCAGAGCCAUUGCCCUUGCCCCUACCAUGAACCCCUACAGAGAUGCUGCUAGAACCUUGCUUUCUAAGGGGUAGGAGGGUCUGGCUGCCUCUGCCUCUACUCACUCCUCCAUAGACACACAGGCCUUCUCUCCAUCCAGGGAGCACAUAGCUGCCAAGAGCAGUCCUGCCCCCACACCAGGCUCCCCAGCAGUGAGGAGCUGGGCUGGGCUGUCCUCACCCGCCCUCUUGGCCUCACCCUGGCCCUUCCCUGGCCCUGCCUCGGGAUGCCAGGACCCAUAGCAGGUGCCUGGACAGGCUUGGGGAUGGAAAGGGGGCUGGGCACAGAAGGCCAGCCUCUGGCCAAGAACAGAACUCAUAG
rnacentral:lncRNA from 1 species